rnacentral:siRNA from 1 species
AGAAAUCUUUGAUGACCCGUUUUU